rnacentral:rRNA from 1 species
UACGAAGGGGGCUAGCGUUGUUCGGAAUUACUGGGCGUAAAGCGCGCGUAGGCGGUGAUCUAUGUCAGGGGUGAAAUCCCGGGGCUCAACUCCGAAAUUGCCUUUGAAACGGGAUCGCUAGAGUCCGAGAGAGGAUGGCGGAAUUCCUAGUGUAGAGGUGAAAUUCGUAGAUAUUAGGAAGAACACCGGUGGCGAAGGCGGCCAUCUGGCUCGGUACUGACGCUCAGGCGCGAAAGCGUGGGGAGCAAACAGG